rnacentral:sRNA from 1 species
UGAUCUUCUAUCUCGCGCUUCGUUUAUCUCGCGCAUUUCUGGUGGCUCGCUCGUGGCAGCGUGUUGAGCGUUCUUCUUAUUUUCCCUCUUUUUUUGCUGGUUCUGUUCAAAAGUUGCAAGAAAAAUUGAACAACGCGCGAAUGGCUAAAAGGAGGAUUUUAAGCUAUGUAAUGUAAAUGUGAAAGGAGGAUUUUCUGAAUGUGCACCAGGUGUUUGAAAAAAUGGCUAAAAGGAUGGAAAGAAACUUUUAUUUUAUUCUUUUUAAAUUUCUUGUUUUUAUUUCAGUUGCAUGUUCUAAUUUCUUUUGGCAAUUGUUGGUGUCAAGGACUUGUUUUGUGUAAUUUGUGGCAGGGCAAGUGAACGAUAGAGUAUGGGGAGAGCUUCAAGGGAUAAUAGGGAUGUUGGCGUAAUUGGUUUUCAGGAUAUCUAUUAUCGGAAAGCAAAAGAGGAAGGUUGGCGUGCUUGAAGUUCCUUUAAACUCCUUCAGAUAGAUGAGGAAUUCAACAUUUUUGAAGGAGUGAAGUGUGUUGUAGAUUUGUGUGCUGCCCCGGGUAGCUGGAGUCAAGUACUUGUUUCUCACUUGCAGUAGCUUUUCUUCAUUGUUUCUCACUUGCAGAUUCAUGCCAAGACUUAGUAUUGAAAUUAAGCUCUAUCAAACUUAAUGUUCACUUGCAUACAUGAAGCCAAAGCGUUCACCUGAAUGUUCUUCUCUCACUCGGGUGAGUUUUCUCAGAGUGAGAAGCGCUUCCUCGACUAUGUUCUGUAGUGGGCUUUUGAGCUUCCCCGUGAUUUCUUCUUCUUCUAGGGUUGCGACGAGUUCGAUUUCUGACGAGGUAAGGGAAGAAUAGUAGCAGCAACUGGGGCACGUGGCGAGUUGAAACGGUUGCAUUGAGGCCGACGAUGUGGCUAUGGAUUCCUCGGAGCUCGUGUACAUAUGUGUCGGUCUUAUGGGCACCUCGGUUUCGGCGUGGCGACGGAGGUUG